rnacentral:misc_RNA from 1 species
GAUGAAGAACGUAGCGAAAUGCGAUACGUAAUGUGAAUUGCAGAAUUCAGUGAAUCAUCGAAUCUUUGAACGCACCUUGCACUCUUUGGUAUUCCGAAGAGUAUGUCUGUUUGAGUGUCAUGAAACUCUCAACCCCCCUGUUUUGUAAUGAGAUAGGCGCGGGCUUGGAUUGUGGCUGUCUGCUGGCUUGUAAUGAGCCUGCUCAGCUGAAAUAUACGAGCAACCCAGUUUGAAAUACAGACGGUUUGACUUGGCGUAAUAAUCUAUUUCGCUGAGGACGUCGCUUUUUCAAUAAUUCAGUGGUGCUUCUAAUGCAAUUACUAUUAAGCUUUAGACCUCAAAUCAGUCAGGACUACCCGCUGAACUUAAGCAUAUCAAUAAGCGGAGGA